rnacentral:rRNA from 1 species
UCCCAAAAAUAAACGUCCCAGUUCGGACUGUAGUCUGCAACCCGACUACACGAAGCUGGAAUCGCUAGUAAUCGCGAAUCAGAAUGUCGCGGUGAAUACGUUCCCGGGUCUUGUACACACCGCCCGUCAAACCAUGAGAGUUGGCAACACCCGAAGUCGGUAGUCUAACCGCAAGGAGGACGCCGCCGAAGGUGGGGUUGAUGAUUAGGGUUAAGUCGUAACAAGGUACC